GGAAUCAAUAACUGGGGUGAAGUCGUAACAAGGUAGCCGUAUCGGAAGGUGCGGCUGGAUCACCUCCUUUCUAAGGAGA
rnacentral:rRNA from 1 species